CUCAUUCAUCUUAGACUUCUGACCUUAACACAGAACUCUUCAUCGAUGUCAUAGUAUCUCACCUCCUGUACAUGUCCGCAAAUUACGUAGUCAUACGCAUCAAGAGAUUUGUAUGCUUGCAGCUUAUCUCUUGUGUACACGCUAGGUUUCU